UCCAACAUCCCAAGAUCGCAAAGACAUUUUUUCAACAAGUUGAAAAGGUGGAAUCCAAUGAGGAUUGACUCUUAAAAUCAGUUGGUUAUGAGAGGCAUCAAAAUAUCUCAGAUUUGUAAGGUUUGCAAAGUGAAUUUCAGAAACUUCACCCUCUAAUGAAUUAUAAGAAAUAUCUACAUCUACUAAAUUUUCAAGGGCUCCAAAGCCUAUGGGGAGACUUCCAUUUAGUUUGUUAAGGGAAAGGUACAGAUAUGCCAAGGA
rnacentral:misc_RNA from 1 species